rnacentral:rRNA from 1 species
GACGAACGCUGGCGGCGUGCUUAACACAUGCAAGUCGAACGGAAAGGCCCUGCUUUUGUGGGGUGCUCGAGUGGCGAACGGGUGAGUAACACGUGAGUAACCUGCCCUUGACCUUGGGAUAACUUCAGGAAACUGGGGCUAAUACCGGAUAGGAGCUCCUGCUGCAUGGUGGGGGUUGGAAAGUUUCGGCGGUUGGGGAUGGACUCGCGGCUUAUCAGCUUGUUGGUGGGGUAGUGGCGUACCAAGGCUUUGACGGGUAGCCGGCCUGGGAGGGUGACCGGCCACAUUGGGACUGAGAUACGGCCCAGAGUCCUACGGGAGGCAGCAGUGGGGAAUAUUGCACAAUGGGCGGAAGCCUGAUGCAGCAACGCCGCGUGCGGGAUGACGGCCUUCGGGUUGUAAACCGCUUUCGCCUGUGACGAAGCGUGAGUGACGGUAAUGGGUAAAGAAGCACCGGCUAACUACGUG